UACGGGGGGGCAAGCGUUGUUCGGAAUUACUGGGCGUAAAGGGCUCGGAGGCGGCCAACUAAGUCAGACGUGAAAUCCCUCGGCUUAACCGGGGAACUGCGUCUGAUACUGGAUGGCUUGAGUGUGGGAGAGGGAUGCGGAAUUCCAGGUGUAGCGGUGAAAUGCGUAGAUAUCUGGAGGAACACCGGUGGCGAAGGCGGCAUCCUGGACCAUUACUGACGCUGAUGAGCGAAAGCCAGGGGAGCAAACGGG
rnacentral:rRNA from 1 species